UACGGAGGGUGCGAGCGUUAAUCGGAAUUACUGGGCGUAAAGCGCGCGUAGGUGGUUAAUUAAGUCAGAUGUGAAAUCCCAGGGCUCAACCUUGGAACUGCAUUUGAAACUGGUUGACUAGAGUUUUGUAGAGGGUGGUAGAAUUUCAGGUGUAGCGGUGAAGUGCGUAGAGAUCUGAAGGAAUACCAGUGGCGAAGGCGGCCACCUGGACAAAGACUGACACUGAGGCGCGAAGGCGUGGGGAGCAAACGGG
rnacentral:misc_RNA from 1 species